rnacentral:rRNA from 1 species
UGCAGAAUCCCGUGAACCAUCGAGUCUUUGAAUGCAAGUUGCGCACGAGGCCAUUAGGUCGAGUGCACGUCUGUUUGGGCGUCAUGUAUAGCGUCAUUCCAAUCUCCCACAUGCGACGAGUGCGGUUUGGGUGAUGAUGGAUAUGGAGAAUGACCUUCCGUUCUUUAAUUGUACGGUAGGUUUAAGUGAUUGUCGUUGCCAGGUUUAUGCGAGGCGAAUGGUGUGUCGAGUUAACGCACGAUGUCUCUAAUCGCGUCCGUGAGACCUAGGCAUGACUUAACUAAUCGAAACCGAUUUCGAUGUUUGCUUCGNUGGCAAGCUCGGACCAUGACCUCAGAUCAGACGGGGCGACCCGCUGAGUUUAAGCAUAUCAAUAAGCGGAGGAGAAGAAACUUACGAAGAUUCCCUUAGUAACGGCGAGCGAAUCGGGAAAAGCCCAGCUUGAAAAUUAGGCGGCUGUGUCGUCUAA